UGUGCAGACUGGGAUAGUACAAAGGAACGAUAAACAGACACAUUCCCUGACCACAACGAGCUUACGGUCUGAAGCGGCCCACGUAGAGUCCUAACAUCCCACUCCCCAUCGCCCCCGCACAGGAAGUCCUAAGAAGGGCCGGCCCACCGCCGACAGAAAUUCUUCUUCCGCUACCACCCGGCUGGACCCGAGGAUACGUCUCUCUAGACUGUAAGCUCGUGGUGCACACUGUGGGCAGGGAACGUGUCCCGUUAUUGCUCUGUUGUCUUCCCUCAAGCGCUUAGCACAGCGCUCGGCACCCAGUAAGCGCUCAAUAAAUACGAACGAGUCUCCCAGCACGGAGGAGCGGCUCCAGGCAUUCGAUGCAGGAGGAAGAUGAGAAGAAAAGCCCACGCCUCGAUGAACUCCGCAGAGGUUUUCCCUGACGAGGAGGUGAGGGGUUCACGCCAUUUGUCAGGGAGAGAAGAAAUGAAGAAAACACGGAGAAUUUCAUUACACCCUGCUUUCCGGUCCUCCCGAAUUGAAGUUAAAGGCCCAGUCCCCGUUCCUCCCAGCUAAAGCGGCUGUUAGGAUUUUGAGGCCCCGAGUCGGACCUGGACCUUCCCGGUGAUGCUUUAGGAGCCGGACGGAGGUCCCUGCCCCGCGUCGAGCGUGAGCGAUGGACGUCCCAAGAGCCCAGACUGGCCACAGGACGUGAGAUAGUUCAGAACAGUCCUCCGCACCCAAUAAGCCAUCGAUAAAUACCCUUUCCUGUCGGACUCUUCUCCGUGAGCCUCCACUCGCCUCAAAACGUGGCCCGCGGUCCCACAGCUGAAAGAAUCCCGACAGCCGUGAGCCAGCCCCACAACCCAUUCCUGCAGGAGCAAUGGAGAAGUCACCCCAAGGGCUAAGGCGGCGGAGUCCCCGAAGCGCCAGGAGAGAAAUUCGGUUGGAGGAGAGAACGUACGGGAAUUUGAGCCGUAAUUGGAGGUGCCGGGAAAGGAAUCCUGGAAUUUUUGAAAGGCCCUUGGAACCGUAAGCCGGCUCUGAAGUGCGCUGGGAGAAAAUUUGAUUUACAACUGGAAAUCAACAUGAUUCAGAGAAAAUAGAUUACUGGUCAAA